UUACUCAAAAUCUACAAGGGAGAGUGCUCCAAUUAGAGCAAAACAGAGGAGGAAAACCUUUUCAUCGUCGGCUGUCACGACCAGCUCCGGCCACACUGGAAAGCCUGCUUUGAAAGCCCAGGUAGUUCCAGCAGGUCUUUCCUGGCGCUGACCACAGAUUCACAGUGGGGCUCAACCUGCCCAAUGGGGAUGAUUCCUACAGAGAGAUACUGUUACAAGGACAGAAGAGAUUUGUCAUGGAACUUGAAAUUCCUGUCCUAUUACCAGACCAUACAGCCUAGGGGAUACUACACAUAUUUCUUAACUAACCCCCCCAAUUACUUUGUGAUUUAUGUAAUUAAUUAUAUUGCAUUCUAUAUUUUGUAUUAAAAAGCAUUAAUGUGUUAAAUAUAAGCAUUGAAAAAUA